rnacentral:rRNA from 1 species
UACGUAGGCAGCAAGCGUUGUUCGGAGUUACUGGGCGUAAAGGGUGCGUAGGCGGCUUUUUAAGUUUGGUGUGAAAUCUCCCGGCUCAACUGGGAGGGUGCGCCGAAUACUGAGAGGCUAGAGUGUGGGAGAGGAAAGUGGAAUUCCUGGUGUAGCGGUGAAAUGCGUAGAUAUCAGGAGGAACACCGGUGGUGUAAACGGCUUUCUGGACCAUUACUGACGCUGAUGCACGAAAGCGUGGGUAGCAAACAGG